UCCCGAUGAAGAAGCAAUCCCAUAGAUAGGAAGUGCCGUAUGACACUUUACACAACAACGGACUGAACGACGA
rnacentral:snoRNA from 14 species